GCUUUCAUAGCUCAGUAGGUAGAGCACUGCCAUGGUAAGGCAGGGGUCGCCGGUUCGAUUCCGGCUGAAAGCUCCA
rnacentral:tRNA from 1 species